rnacentral:piRNA from 1 species
UAGAAUUUAAGACCAAUCACGCCGCGAAC